rnacentral:rRNA from 1 species
AGCUCCAAUAGCGUAUAUUAAAGUUGUUGCGGUUAAAAAGCUCGUAGUUGGAUUUCUGUUCCAGACUGACGGUCCGCCGAAUCGGUCGCGACUGUCAGGCCUGAACAUCCCGUCGGUUUAUCACUUUCCCGCGGUGCUCUUUACUGAAGUGUCGCGGGAGGCCGACAAGUUUACUUUGAAAAAAUUAGAGUGCUCAAAGCAGGCGGUCAGCCUGAAUAAUGGUGCAUGGAAUGAUGGAAUAGGACCUCGGUUCUAUUUUGUUGGUUUUCGCAACUCGAGGUAAUGAUUAAGAGGGACAGACGGGGGCAUUCGUAUUGCGACGCUAGAGGUGAAAUUCUUGGACCGUCGCAAGACGAACUAUUGCGAAAGCAUUUGCCAAGAAUGUUUUCA